rnacentral:lncRNA from 1 species
AAUUGAGAAUGGAAAUGGGGAAUGUGCAAAAGAGACAACAACCCGACCAUAGAAAAAAAAAAAAAAAACAACAGCAGAAGGUCACCAACAGGUCUUCAAUGUAGCGAGAAAUUCCCGCACCCGGAGGCGUCCUUCAGCUGGCCCCUAAACAAAUAUAUACUAGUUCAGUGAUAAUGAACGCCAUACUAAUUUCCAAAUUGUACACAAGAAACUAAAAUUAAAAUAAUACAAGACUAACAAAGGCCAGAGGCUCCUGACUUGGGACAGGUGCAAAAAUGCGGCGGGGUUAAACAUGUUUGUGAGAUCUCAACCCUCCCCCUAUACCUCUAGCCAAUGUAGAAAAGUAAACGCAUAACAAUACGCACAUUAAAAUUCAGUCCAAGAGAAGUCCGAGUCUGAUGUCAGAAGAUGUAACCAAAGAAAAUAAACAAAAUGACAAUAAUACAUAAAUAACAACAGACUACUAGCAGUUAACUGACAUGCCAGCUCCAGACUUCAAUUAAACUGACUGAAAGAUUAUGAUUUCAUCAUAUGAACAUCAGGCACAAUCCUUCCCGUUAGGGGUUUAGUAUCAUACCAUCAUAACAUAUAUGAGAAGAACAUAACCCGUGUCAUGCCAGC